rnacentral:rRNA from 1 species
AUGAUGGCGGAGGAACCGGCGAUGGAUUUCGACGACGGGGGCUUCGGCGGCGCCGAGGACAACCUCUCCAUGCCCCUCGGCGACUUCAUGGCCUUCCUCGAGAGCGAGCCCGCCGACGACGGGGAGGACCCGCCGCAGCCCGAGGCCAAUCAAGGUUCCUUAGAGGCGCCAGUGGACACGACAGGUUUUGCAAAUGGAUUUGAAAACCAUGAAGAACUUUUGGAGGAUGAAAUGCAGACCAAUCAAGAUUCCUUAGAGGUGGCAGUGGACAUGACAGGUUAUGCACAUGGAUUUGGAAACCAUGAAGAACUUUUGGAGGAUGAAGGUUUUUGGUCACACAUAGACCCUUCGCAAUACCAGAUGGAAGCAAUGGUGGAACAAGGAGAUGGAACCUUUGACGACUCCGAUGCUAAGCCUAAUGGUUUGCUUGGCAGUGAUUUAUCUGGAAACUGUAGAACUACCGAUCAUAACAACCAACCUUUACCAAGGGACACAUUAAACCAUAUAAAUGCUGCUGAAGAAGCAAAUGCAUCUCCAUACGAAGUUCUAUCAAAUUGUUCAUAUGUUGGUGAGCAGUACUUUGGCAAAGCACAGGUCAAAGCAGAGAACCACUUAGAGGGCAUGGGGCCACCAACGAAUACUUAUUUGCCACAUAAUCAAUUCCCAGAGCAAUCUGGUUUGAGUGAAGUUAAAAGCGAGGAUACAGGAGCAAUAUUUGAUAACACUGGUCAGGAGGGUAAUCAAUUCAUACCAAUGAACACAUUCUCUUUUGACCAUAAUGCUGCUAUCCCUGAUAUUUCUUACACUGAGCUGAACAUUGGUGAGGCGACUGGAAGCAUGAACAAUGGCAAUGGCAGUUGCCUAACUGUACAGGGAGAUUAUCUGCAGGGGGAGUUUGGAGAAUGUCCCAAAGCAGAGUAUGGUUCUCUUGAUAUGGCUGGUGAAAUGCCAAUGCAUGAUUUGCCGCAUAACAAUCAGUCAUAUGAGAUGGAACAGAUUCCACAGAAUAUAUGUGAAAGCAGUUCGAUGCAGACAGGCUCUCCGGAUCAAUAUUGUGAUGAUACAUCUUUAUCAGGUUACUACAUGUCGUCCCCAGAGUCAUUAUCCUGUGAGCAGAUCCAGUCUGAAUAUAUUGGUUUCAAGAGUGAGUCUAGCACUGACUCUUCUCCAAUACCCUCAAGCAGAAACUCUACUACAGAGGAUGCUGAUAAAUACUUAGGAGGCUCAACAAAACAGUUGCUGAACUCUAGUUUUGUUCCUAUCGGCCACCAACACCCGUAUAGGAGCCUGACAGAUCAAAUGCCUCCAGCUUUUCAUGAACAAUAUGAUAUUCACAGAAGUGGCAACUCCUUUGCUCGGGGGAAUUUAUCAAGAAGUUGCUUUGGUGCAAAUGUGAAUGGUGGUUCUGAUUUACUUAACCUUAGUAGCCAUCGUGCUCCUGGUCACAUAUUGCCACCCCAGGGAAUCCAAGGAAAACUUAAUAACUUUCAACAAUCUUUGUCUGCAAAUCCUUUUGUUCCUCGAUUUGGCGGGAUGGCAUAUAAGUCGCAUGAUGAAAGGGCGACUCUACGACUUGCAUUGCAGGAUAUAUCCCAGCCAAAGUCCGAGGCUAAUCCACCUGAUGGGCUUUUAUCAGUUCCUUUAUUGAGGCAUCAGAAAAUUGCUCUGUCAUGGAUGGUGCAAAAGGAGAAAAAUGGUUCACAUUGCUCUGGUGGAAUUCUCGCAGAUGAUCAGGGCUUGGGUAAAACCAUAUCAACUAUUUCACUGAUAUUGACGGAAAGAUCACCAGUACCAAGGUCAACUGCCAUUAAGCCAGAGCUGUGUGAAGCUGUAUCUCUUGACGAUGACGAAGAUGACCCCACUGAUCUUUGUUUGAAAAGGAGGUCACAGACAUGUAGCUCUGAAGUGACAACAAGCACUACAGUUAAGACAGAGAAUCAUAUUGUAGAGAUUAAGGCCAGGCCAGCUGCUGGGACUCUGGUUGUUUGCCCGACAAGUGUUCUACGGCAGUGGGCGGAAGAACUGAGGAACAAAGUUACCAGUAAAGCUAAUUUGUCCUUUCUAAUAUAUCAUGGUAGCAACCGUACGAAGGAUCCUAACGAGCUCACUAAAUAUGAUGUUGUGCUAACUACGUAUUCUAUAGUAAGUAUGGAGGUACCAAAGCAAUCAAGUCCUGAUAGUGACGAUGAAGAGAAAGGGAAGGCAGACAGAUAUGGUGCUCCUGUUUCAGGCAGCAAAAAGAGAAAGGCUUCCUCUUCUAAGAAAACUAAAAAGGCCACAACAGAGAAGAGUAACUUACCAGAGAAACCUCUUGCGAGAGUAGCAUGGUUCAGGGUUAUUCUUGAUGAAGCACAAAGUAUUAAAAAUUACCGAACCAAUGUUGCCGGGUCUUGCUGGAAUUUGCGAGCCAAAAGAAGGUGGUGCUUGUCAGGGACACCAAUACAGAAUGCUGUUGAAGAUCUCUUUAGCUAUUUUAAAUUUCUCCGAUAUGAACCAUAUUGUGAAUACAAGCAUUUUUGCACCAUGAUAAAAAUGCCAAUCAGCAGGAACCCAAUUAAUGGUUACAAGAAGCUGCAAGUUGUUUUGAAGACAGUAAUGCUACGUCGGACUAAAGCGACAAUGCUGGAUGGAAAACCAAUCAUUUCCCUACCGCCCAAGACUAUAACUCUCAAGGCUGUGAACUUCACGAGUGAGGAGCGUGCAUUUUAUAACACCCUAGAAGCUGAAUCGCGAGCACAAUUUAAGGUCUAUGCAGCUGCUGGUACUGUUAGGCAAAACUACGUGAAUAUCCUGCUGAUGCUUUUACGGCUCAGACAGGCAUGCGAUCACCCUCACCUAGUUAAAGGUCACGAGUCUAGCUGGACCUCUUCAUUGGAGAGUGCGAAUAAACUUCCAAUGGAACGAAAACAAGAAUUGCUGGUUUGUUUGCAAUCUUGUUCAGCUAUAUGUGCUCUCUGCAACGAUGCACCAGAAGACGCUGUUGUUACUGCAUGCGGGCAUGUUUUUUGCAACCAGUGCAUAUUGGAGCAACUUACUGGCGAUGACAGCAUAUGUCCAGUCUCUAAUUGCAGAGUCCGACUUAAUGCAACUUCAUUAUUCUCUCGAGGCACCCUUGAAUUCUCCUUGUGCAAAUCAACAAGUGAAUUCCAGUCUAAUGAUUCCUGUACAGAGAUGGUACAUACUGAAAAUCAAACUGGAAUUGAUUCAUCUUAUGCAUCUUCUAAAGUGAGGGCUGCCCUAGAUAUUAUUCUCUCAUUACCUAAAGUUGACCCCACCCAAAGUAGUGACAGCAAAAAAACAAUUGGGCUUGCCUCUGAAAAUACCAAUGGGAUGAGUUCAGAAUAUGCUGACACCAAGACGAUAGAGAAGGCCAUUGUUUUCUCUCAAUGGACUAGAAUGCUGGAUUUGCUAGAGGUUCAUUUGAAAGCUUCUCAUGUGACCUACCGGAGGCUUGAUGGAACAAUGUCUGUUGCUGCUCGGGAAAAAGCCGUGAACGACUUCAAAACAGUUCCAGAGGUUUCUGUUAUGAUCAUGUCUCUCAAAGCUGCGAGUCUUGGUCUAAAUAUGGUGGCUGCCUGCCAUGUGCUUAUGCUCGAUCUGUGGUGGAAUCCUACCACCGAGGACCAAGCUGUUGAUAGAGCACACCGUAUUGGCCAAACACGACCAGUCACAGUAUCUAGGUUAACUGUCAAAGAUACUGUUGAAGAUCGUAUUCUGGCGCUCCAGGAGAAAAAGCGGGAGAUGGUUGCUUCUGCUUUUGGGGAAGAUAAAUCUGGUGGCGGUCAGACUCGACUGACAGUGGACGACUUGAAUUAUUUGUUUAUGGUUUAG